GAUUAACGCUGGCGGCGUGCAUAACACAUGCAAGUCGAACGAUGAAACUUAAAUGAUUUCUUCGGAAUGAACUUAAGUGGAUUAGUGGCGGACGGGUGAGUAACGCGUGAGUAACCUGCCUUACACAAGGGGAUAGCCGUUGGACACGACGAAUAAUACCCUAUGAUGUUUCUAUCUCGCAUGAGAUAUUAACCAAAGUGUUAGCGGUGUAAGAUGGACUUGCGUCUGAUUAGCUAGUUGGUGAGAAAAAAGCCCACCAAGGCAACGAUCAGUAGCCGGCUUGAGAGAGUGUACGGACACAUUGGGAAUGAGACACGGCCCAGACUCCUACGGGAGGCAGCAGUGGGGAAUUUUGCACAAUGGGGGAAACCCUGAUGCAGCGACGCCGCGUGAUUUAGAAGGCCUUCGGGUUGUAAAAAUCUUUUGUAUAGGAAGAAAAUGACAGUACUAUACGAAUAAGGUCCGGCUAAUUACGUG
rnacentral:rRNA from 1 species